GACGAACGCUGGCGGCGUGCCUAAUACAUGCAAGUAGAACGCUGAAGGAGGAGCUUGCUUCUCUGGAUGAGUUGCGAACGGGUGAGUAACGCGUAGGUAACCUGCCUGGUAGCGGGGGAUAACUAUUGGAAACGAUAGCUAAUACCGCAUAAGAGUAGAUGUUGCAUGACAUUUGCUUAAAAGGUGCAAUUGCAUCACUACCAGAUGGACCUGCGUUGUAUUAGCUAGUUGGUGAGGUAACGGCUCACCAAGGCAACGAUACAUAGCCGACCUGAGAGGGUGAUCGGCCAAACUGGGACUGGGACACGGCCCAGACUCCUACGGGAGGCAGCAGUAGGGAAUCUUCGGCAAUGGACGGAAGUCUGACCGAGCAACGCCGCGUGAGUGAAGAAGGUUUUCGGAUCGUAAAGCUCUGUUGUAAGAGAAGAACGAGUGUGAGAGUGGAAAGUUCACACUGUGACGGUAUCUUACCAGAAAGGGACGGCUAACUACGUG
rnacentral:rRNA from 1 species